GUCUAUGGCCAUGCCACCCUGAAUGUGCCUGAUCUCGUCUGAUCUUGGAAGCUAAACAUGGUCGGGCCUGGUUAGUACUUGGAUAGGAGACCAUCUAGGAAUACCAGCUGCUGUAGAAA
rnacentral:rRNA from 1 species